UGAGAGGUCCCGCCUGCCCUGUGACAUAAGUUUAACGGCCGCGGUAAUUUGACCGUGCAAAGGUAGCGCAAUCACUUGUCUUUUAAAUGAAGACCUGUAUGAAUGGCAUAACGAGGGCUUAACUGUCUCCUUUUUCUAGUUAAUGAAAUUGAUCUCCCCGUGCAGAAGCGGGGAUACACCCAUAAGACGAGAAGACCCUGUGGAGCUUUAGACAACGGGGCAGAUCAUAUUCCUCUCCUCAAAUCAAAGAGCUAAAUAAUUGAAGCCCGCCCUAAUGUCUUUGGUUGGGGCGACCGCGGGGAAAUAAUUAACCCCCAUGUGGAACAAUACUUUUGUAUCUAAGCUGAGAGUGACAACUCUAAGUAACAGAACUUCUGACCAAAAAGAUCCGGUAAUACCGAUCAACGAAACGAGUUACCCCAGGGAUAACAGCGCAAUCCCCUUUUAGAGCCCAUAUCGACAAGGGGGUUUACGACCUCGAUGUUGGAUCAGGACAUCCUAAAGGUGCAGCCGCUUUUAAGGGUUCGUUUGUUCAACGAUUAA
rnacentral:rRNA from 1 species